ensembl:rRNA 5S_rRNA 5S ribosomal RNA
GCUUACAGCCAUACCAGCCCAAGAACGCCCGGUCUCGUUUGAUCUCGGAAGCUAAGAAGGCUUGGGCCUGUUUAGUACUUGGAUGGGAGACCUCCUGCGAAUACAAGGUGCUGUAAGCU